GACGAACGCUGGCGGCGUGCUUAACACAUGCAAGUCGAACGGAAAGGCCCUGCUUUUGUGGGGUGCUCGAGUGGCGAACGGGUGAGUAACACGUGAGUAACCUGCCCUUGACUUUGGGAUAACUUCAGGAAACUGGGGCUAAUACCGGAUAGGAGCUCCUGCUGCAUGGUGGGGGUUGGAAAGUUUCGGCGGUUGGGGAUGGACUCGCGGCUUAUCAGCUUGUUGGUGGGGUAGUGGCUUACCAAGGCUUUGACGGGUAGCCGGCCUGAGAGGGUGACCGGCCACAUUGGGACUGAGAUACGGCGCAGACUCCUACGGGAGGCAGAAGUGGGGAAUAUUGCACAAUGGGCGGAAGCCUGAUGCAGCAACGCCGCGUGCGGGAUGACGGCCUUCGGGUUGUAAACCGCUUUCGCCUGUGACGAAGCGUGAGUGACGGUAAUGGGUAAAGAAGCACCGGCUAAAUACGUGC
rnacentral:rRNA from 1 species